rnacentral:lncRNA from 1 species
UACAGGUCUGUGGUAUUUGACCAGCCAAUUAUCCUUGGAGUUACGCUGGGUUCUUUCCAACUUAAAGCAAAUCCAGAAAGAGAGAGCACAUAAGAAAGAAUGAGAAAAUGAGAAAGCACCUAAAGCAUCCAGAAAUCAGAGCCACCUUCCAAGAGCCAGGCUGAAUCAUAUUUCAAGCCCAGAGAAGGGGAAGCCAACUCAAGGGGAACCAGUUCAGGCUGAUGGAAGACUUGAGAUUGAAUUAACCAGCCUGUGAGGCCUGAAGGAACUUUAGUCAUUUCAGGAAGCCAUUCUCCAGCCUGCUGUGGCUGAAAGAACUUCAGAUCUUUCCAG